AUUGAACGCUGGCGGCAGGCCUAACACAUGCAAGUCGAGCGAGAGGGGGACGGGGGAGAAAUGUCUGGGAAACUGCCUGAGGGGGGGGGAUAACUACUGGAGACGGUAUCUAAUACAGCAUACCAUCAGAUGUGCGCCGAUGGGAUUAGCUCGUGGGUGGGGGAACGGCUCACCAAGGCGACGAUCCCUAGCUGGUCUGUGAGGUGGACCAGCCACACUGGAACUGAGACACGGUCCAGACUCCUACGGGAGGCAGCAGUGGGGAAUAUUGCACAAUGGGCGCAAGCCUGAUGCAGCCAUGCCGCGUGUGUGAAGAAGGUCUUCGGAUUUUAAAGCACUUUCAGUUGGGAGGCGUUACCAACAGAAGAAGCACCGGCUAACUACGUGCCAGCAGCCGCGGUAAUAC
rnacentral:rRNA from 1 species